UAGGGAAUCUUCGGCAAUGGACGAAAGUCUGACCGAGCAACGCCGCGUGAGUGAAGAAGGUUUUCGGAUCGUAAAACUCUGUUGGUAGAGAAGAACGUUGGUGAGAGUGGAAAGCUCAUCAAGUGACGGUAACUACCCAGAAAGGGACGGCUAACUACGUGCCAGCAGCCGCGGUAAUACGUAGGU
rnacentral:rRNA from 1 species